UCUCUAGAAAUCCACAGCAACACUUGAACCGCUGAACAAAUAUAGUCUGGAUUCCUGAGACCAAAGGGCUCGGGAAAAUCGCUGAAAACCCGCUAUACUGGAACAGCUGCUCUCUGCCAGAACAUCAAUCAAAGGGCAGCUUACUGGAACCUUGAAGACCACCUAAGGAGCUACUUCCCCUGUUUUAAGAUAAACUGAAGCCCAGAAGUGUAUUGUGGAAGCUGGAGUCAGAGUUUGACUCCUGAUCCUCUCACUGAAUGUGUGGAGGCUGACGUCCGACAUUGCGCGAAUACUUGCUGUGAUCCUUGCCUACGUAGUACGGAGGCCAGAGGUGUCCCAGGACAGACGCCCUCAAGAGGCCCACCCUUGCUCCUGGCAGAUCCAGGUGGACGUGCGUAGGCCAUCUCCCAUCAAACACUCCUCCGGUCUGUAAGCAAAAGGAUUUGGUUAUUAAGGGCUAAGGUGUGGUGGACAGGCAUCUAUUGCUUCAGGGCAGCCUUGGGGAAAACCGCCCCAGAGGUGAAUUAAACCCAAUCGCUGCUUCGGGGAGUUCAGUUUUGAGACAGGCCACAAGUAAACGAACAGAUGAGCUAGAAAAUUACAGAUUAUUUCAGUGCUAUGAAG